rnacentral:rRNA from 1 species
AGUGAACGCUGGCGGCGUGCUUAACACAUGCAAGUCGAACGAGAACGGACUUAAGCUUGCUUAAGUUGUCAGCUAAGUGGCGCACGGGUGAGUAAUGUAUAGUUAACCUGCCCUCUAGAGAGGAAUAACAGUUGGAAACGACUGCUAAUGCCUUAUAUGCCUUUAAGACAGAAGUCUGCAAGGGAAAUGCUUUAGUGCUAGAGGAUGGGACUGUAUGGUAUCAGUUAAGUUGGUGGGGUAAUAGGCUUUACCAAAGACAAUGACGCCUAACUGGUUUGAGAGGAUGAUCAGUCAC